GAUGAACGCUGGCGGCGUGCUUAACACAUGCAAGUCGAACGAAGCACUCUACUUGAUCUCUUCGGAGUGAUUGUUUUGUGACUGAGUGGCGGACGGGUGAGUAACGCGUGGGUAACCUGCCUCAUACAGGGGGAUAACAGUUGGAAACGACUGCUAAUACCGCAUAAGCGCACAGGGUCGCAUGACCUGGUGUGAAAAACUCCGGUGGUAUGAGAUGGACCCGCGUCUGAUUAGCCAGUUGGUGGGGUAACGGCCUACCAAAGCGACGAUCAGUAGCCGACCUGAGAGGGUGACCGGCCACAUUGGGACUGAGACACGGCCCAAACUCCUACGGGAGGCAGCAGUGGGGAAUAUUGCACAAUGGGGGAAACCCUGAUGCAGCGACGCCGCGUGAGCGAAGAAGUAUUUCGGUAUGUAAAGCUCUAUCAGCAGGGAAGAAGAAAUGACGGU
rnacentral:rRNA from 1 species